GCAAGUCGAGCGGUAACAGGAAGUAGCUUGCUACUUUGCUGACGAGCGGCGGACGGGUGAGUAAUGCUUGGGAACAUGCCUUUAGGUGGGGGACAACAGUUGGAAACGACUGCUAAUACCGCAUAAUAGCUACGGCUUAAAGGGGGCUUCGGCUCUCGCCUUUAGAGAAGCCCAAGUGAGAUUAGCUAGUUGGUGAGGUAAUGGCUCACCAAGGCGACGAUCCCUAGCUGGUCUGAGAGGAUGAUC
rnacentral:rRNA from 1 species